UCCAGCCUCGCAGCCACUGGCUUCUAGCUGCAGCAGAAACCUGCACUGCCCGCCCUGCAGUACGUCGACUGCGAUCUGCAACCCUCCUCUUGACAUCCGCUGCCAGUCAAGAUCUGUCUCCCCUGCCUAGUAGGCGAUGACGCCUAAUGCUGGCCGCAGUACGGCAGGCCUUGCUCUUGCGACUGUUCAACACCCUGCUACACCCAACGAUGUUGAGCUGCAGGAAUAAUACCUCUCUGCGUGCUCCGUGCUGCCUCGAGGACGGUGCACAACUACGGAGUGAUGAUGCGAACACCGACCUCGACAUCCUUGCAAAACAGCUUCCCGCCCUGUAUACUAUACUAUAGCUGCAUCAUGGCCGCUCAUUGAAGACUCAUAUUGAGAGCACGUGGCUGUUUGAUGACCUGAUCAAACAAUUAUAGAUAUCGCGCUGGCUCAUCUGUGGUACACUGCUCAGGGUCUAGCAUUCGGUUUGUCUGCGGGAUUCUUGCUCGUGCACGUUAACAUUCUGUGCUCUCGUAAUGGUACGCUGAUGCUGGUUUGCGUUGCGAAGUAGCACGCGCAUGUGUUCGUAUGAGCAUGCGAGUGUGUUGCUGCAUGUAUGUUCUCUAUUGUACGCGCGUGCUACUUCGCUUAUUUUAUCUGGUGGUUGUCAUUAUUUUAGCUCGGGUGUGUCCUCACUUCCAUGCAAUUUUUGGUGGCUUGUUUCGUUCAAUCGGUGAAUUCCUUCAUAAAGGUCAUUGAUGAUUUCGUAGUGAUGGUGGCCAAUCUUCUCGGAAACCCAUCCAACUUCGGCACUGGGCAUUCCCCUUACUUGAUGUCCAGUCGUCCACUCGUAGAUUUGUCCAUGGCCUUGUCAUAUUGUUUUCUACUCGACGGGGUCUGUUGGUACAUUUUCCUUAUCCACUUCUUUCUCAAUUGAUCAGUUCAUCAUGGCUAAUGCGAUACAUCAGCGUACCAUUACAAAAAGCGCAUGGUGUGAAUUAAAGGCAAUAGAGCAUCUACGUUCGAUUGUGAGGAUCACAAUUAUGUGAGCUUAUCCUUUAUCUGGUACUGGCAUGGUACCAAGCUCAUUUUUCAAACUUGUCCGCUUUCAUUAAUCACGUGAGCGGUAAAGCUGCGUACAACUCCACAGCAAAGCAAAGCAGCUCCUGAAUCUCCCUUCAGCAACAUUGAACAUUGAUCACAUACCACCACCACAGAUGCCUGCGGUGUUAAGACUUCAUCAAACUGCUUCAUCACCUUUUGUCCUUGAAUGUUCGCUGCCCUGUGUAAAUUUACCUACUUGCAUUGUUGUCCAUCACUAUAACAUGUAUUUGCUGAACCAUGUUCACUGCAACUCAAUAAAAUGGCAAAGGCUUUUUGUUUUUACAUAGCCCUAUUUUCCCCUGCGUAA
rnacentral:lncRNA from 1 species